rnacentral:rRNA from 1 species
GGAGGAAAAGAAACUAACAAGGAUUCCCCUAGUAGCGGCGAGCGAAGCGGGAAGAGCUCAAAUUUAUAAUCUGGCACUUUCAGUGUCCGAGUUGUAAUCUCUAGAAGUGUUUUCCGCAUUGGACCGCACACAAGUCUGUUGGAAUACAGCGGCACAGUGGUGAGACCCCCGUAUACGGUGCGGAUGCCCAAUGCUUUGUGAUACACUUUCGAAGAGUCGAGUUGUUUGGGAAUGCAGCUCAAAUUGGGUGGUAAAUUCCAUCUAAAGCUAAAUAUUGGCGAGAGACCGAUAGCGAACAAGUACCGUGAGGGAAAGAUGAAAAGCACUUUGGAAAGAGAGUUAACAGUACGUGAAAUUGUUGGAAGGGAAACGCUUGAAGUCAGACUUGCUAUUCGGGGCUUGCUCCGAGUUGCAGGCCAGCAUCAGUUUUCUGGGGUGGAAAAUCACGGUUAGAAGGUAGCAACUCCGGUUGUGUUAUAGCUUUCCGUUGGAUACAUCCUGGGGGACUGAGGAACGCAGUGUGCUUUUAGCAGGAGCUUCGGCUUCAUCACACUUAGGAUGCUGGUGGAAUGGCUUUAAACGACCCGUCUUGA